GGUCAAGCGAAUAAGCGCACACGGUGGAUGCCUUGGCGGUCAGAGGCGAUGAAGGACGUGGCAGCCUGCGAAAAGUAUCGGGGAGCUGGCAACAAGCUUUGAUCCGGUAAUGUCCGAAUGGGGAAACCCACCCGCUUGCGGGUAUCCUGCAGUGAAUACAUAGCUGCUGGAAGCGAACCUGGUGAACUGAAAUAUCUAAGUAACCAGAGGAAAAGAAAUCAACCGAGAUUCCGUAAGUAGCGACGAGCGAACGCGGACUAGCCCUUAAGCUGAUUUGGUUCUAGGAAAACGCUCUGGAAAGAGCGGCCAUAGAAGGUGAUAGCCCUGUAUCUAAAAGGGCCAUUUCAGUGAAGACGAGUAGGGCGGGGCACGUGAAACCCUGUCUGAACAUGGGGGGACCAUCCUCCAAGGCUAAAUACUACUGACCGACCGAUAGUGAACCAGUACCGUGAGGGAAAGGCGAAAAGAACCCCGGAGAGGGGAGUGAAAUAGAACCUGAAACCGUGUGCGUACAAGCAGUAGGAGCUCCGCAAGGAGUGACUGCGUACCUUUUGUAUAAUGGGUCAGCGACUUACUGUUCGUGGCAAGCUUAACCGUAUAGGGGAGGCGAAGGGAAACCGAGUCUGAUAAGGGCGCAUAGUCGCGGGCAGUAGACCCGAAACCGGGUGAUCUAGUCAUGCCCAGGGUGAAGGUGCGGUAACACGCACUGGAGGCCCGAACCCACUCCCGUUGCAAAGGUAGGGGAUGAGGUGUGAUUAGGAGUGAAAAGCUAAUCGAACCCGGAGAUAGCUGGUUCUCCUCGAAAGCUAUUUAGGUAGCGCCUCAUAUGUAUCCUCUCGGGGGUAGAGCACUGUUAUGGCUAGGGGGUCAUCGCGACUUACCAAACCAUUGCAAACUCCGAAUACCGAGACGGACUGUAUGGGAGACACACGGCGGGUGCUAACGUCCGUCGUGAAAAGGGAAACAACCCAGACCCACAGCUAAGGUCCCAAAUUUUGUGCUAAGUGGAAAACCAUGUGGAAAGGCACAGACAGCCAGGAGGUUGGCUUAGAAGCAGCCACCCUUUAAAGAAAGCGUAAUAGCUCACUGGUCGAGUCGGUCUGCGGGGAAGAUUUAACGGGGCUAAGCACAGAACCGAAGCUUGGGGUGCAUAACUUUGUUAUGCGCGGUAGAGGAGCGUUCCGUAAGCCGUUGAAGGUGGAUUGAGAAGUCUGCUGGAGGUAUCGGAAGUGCGAAUGCUGACAUGAGUAACGAUAAUGCGGGUGAAAAACCCGCACGCCGAAAGCCCAAGGUUUCCUUGCGCAACGUUAAUCGGCGCAGGGUGAGUCGGCCCCUAAGGCGAGGACGAAAGUCGUAGUCGAUGGGAAGCAGGUUAAUAUUCCUGCACCUCGCGUAAGUGCGAUGGAGGGACGGAGAAGGUUAGGUGUACCAGGCGUUGGUUGUCCUGGGGAAAGGCGGUAGGUUUGGAUCUUUGGCAAAUCCGGGAUCCUUUAAGACCGAGCACCGAGACGAGCCUUUAUGGCGAAGUCACUGAUACCACGCUUCCAGGAAAAGCUCCUAAGCUUCAGCUUACGCAGACCGUACCGUAAACCGACACAGGUGGGUAGGAUGAGAAUUCUCAGGCGCUUGAGAGAACUCGGGUGAAGGAACUAGGCAACAUGGCACCGUAACUUCGGGAGAAGGUGCACCCUUUUUGGUGGCUCGUGCGAGCUAUAGCUGAAGAGGGUCGCAGUAACCAGGCCGCUGCGACUGUUUAUCAAAAACACAGCACUCUGCAAACACGAAAGUGGACGUAUAGGGUGUGACGCCUGCCCGGUGCUGGAAGGUUAAUUGAUGGGGUCAGCCGCAAGGCGAAGCUCUUGAUCGAAGCCCCAGUAAACGGCGGCCGUAACUAUAACGGUCCUAAGGUAGCGAAAUUCCUUGUCGGGUAAGUUCCGACCUGCACGAAUGGCGUAACGACAGCGGCGCUGUCUCCACCCGAGACUCAGUGAAAUUGAAAUCGCUGUGAAGAUGCAGCGUUCCCGUGGCAAGACGGAAAGACCCCGUGAACCUUUACUAUAGCUUUACACUGAACGUUGAGUUCGUCUGUGUAGGAUAGGUGGGAGGCUAUGAAACUGUGGCGCUAGCUGCAGUGGAGCCAUCCUUGAAAUACCACCCUGUCGUGCUUGACGUUCUAACCUGGGCCCAUUAUCUGGGUCGGGGACCGUGUAUGGUGGGUAGUUUGACUGGGGCGGUCUCCUCCUAAAGAGUAACGGAGGAGCUCGAAGGUACGCUCAGCGCGGUCGGACAUCGCGCACUGUGUGCAAAGGCAUAAGCGUGCUUGACUGCAAGAUCGACGGAUCAAGCAGGUAGGAAACUAGGACUUAGUGAUCCGGUGGUUCUGUAUGGAAGGGCCAUCGCUCAACGGAUAAAAGGUACUCCGGGGAUAACAGGCUGAUACCGCCCAAGAGUUCAUAUCGACGGCGGUGUUUGGCACCUCGAUGUCGGCUCAUCACAUCCUGGGGCUGUAGUCGGUCCCAAGGGUAUGGCUGUUCGCCAUUUAAAGUGGUACGCGAGCUGGGUUCAGAACGUCGUGAGACAGUUCGGUCCCUAUCUGCCAUGGGCGUUGGAGAUUUGAGAGGGGCUGCUCCUAGUACGAGAGGACCGGAGUGGACGAACCUCUGGUGUUCCGGUUGUCACGCCAGUGGCAUUGCCGGGUAGCUAUGUUCGGAAGCGAUAACCGCUGAAAGCAUCUAAGCGGGAAGCGCGCCUCAAGAUGAGAUCUCCCGGGGCACAAGCCCCCUGAAGGAACCAUGUAGACUACGUGGUUGAUAGGUCAGGUGUGUAAGUACAGCAAUGUAUUGAGCUAACUGAUACUAAUGAUCCGUGCGGCUUGACCAU
rnacentral:rRNA from 1 species